GAUGAACGCUGGCGGCGUGCCUAAUACAUGCAAGUCGAGCGAGCGGACGAGAAGCUUGCUUCUCUGAUGUUAGCGGCGGACGGGUGAGUAACACGUGGAUAACCUACCUAUAAGACUGGGAUAACUUCGGGAAACCGGAGCUAAUACCGGAUAAUAUUUUGAACCGCAUGGUUCAAAAGUGAAAGACGGUCUUGCUGUCUCUUAUAGAUGGAUCCGCGCUGCAUUAGCUAGUUGGUAAGGUAACGGCUUACCAAGGCAACGAUGCAUAGCCGACCUGAGAGGGUGAUCGGCCACACUGGAACUGAGACACGGUCCAGACUCCUACGGGAGGCAGCAGUAGGGAAUCUUCCGCAAUGGGCGAAAGCCUGACGGAGCAACGCCGCGUGAGUGAUGAAGGUCUUCGGAUCGUAAAACUCUGUUAUUAGGGAAGAACAUAUGUGUAAGUAACUGUGCACAUCUUGACGGUACCUAAUCAGAAAGCCACGGCUAACUACGUG
rnacentral:rRNA from 1 species